rnacentral:rRNA from 1 species
GGCUCGUCGACCUGCGCCGGGCGAUGAACGGCCCGGGCCAACUGCUCGGCACGUUCGACGCGGCGCUGCCUGCGGGCACCGCCGACGUGUGGUCGAACGACAUCUCCGACGUCGCGCUCGCCGCGCGCAAGCGCGAAGACGACGCCGAGCACCGCGCGUGGCUCGACACGCUGAGGACGAAGGGAUGGGAGCACGGGCUGCCCGCCGGCGCGAGCAAUGGCGACCGGAUCGACUAUGCGCUCGGCGUCGCGCGCGAAACCGCGUAUCAGGCGCGCGAGUAUCAGGGCAGUCUCGUGAAAUCGGGCGGCGGCACGCUGACGCUCGCCGGCGCGAACACCUAUCGCGGGCCCACGACGGUCGACGGCGGCGAAUUGAGGAUCGACGGCUCGAUCGCCGCGCGCGCCGUCGUCAAUCCGGCGGGCCGGCUCACGGUGAACGGCCGCGCGGCCGACAUCGCGGUCAACGGCGGCGUGGCGACGAUCGCCGGGACGAGCGCGAACCUGUCGAUCGACCGGCAGGGCCGGGCCGCCGUGACAGGGACGACGGCGGACGUGCGCGUCGCGAGCGGCUUUGCAUCGCUCGGCGGCACGAGCGGCAACGUCGCGGUGGGGGCGCUCGGCGUCGCCGCGAUCACGGGCCGCACGGCCGACGUGGCGGUCGACGGCGGCCGCGCGUCGCUCGACGGCGCGAGCGGCAACGUCGCGGUCGGCAACGGCGGCGUCGUGAGCGGCAGCGGCACGGUGCGCACGCUCACGGCGGCCGCGAACGGCACGGUCGCGCCCGGCCAUUCGGUCGGUACGCUGACGGUGUCGGGCGACGUGCGCUUCGCGCCGGGUUCGAUCUACGCGGUCGAGGUGUCGCCGGGCGGCGCGGGCGACCGGAUCGUCGCGGGCGGCCGCGCGCAAAUUGACGGCGGCGCGUUGGCGCUCGCGCUCGAGAACACGCCGCCGCCGCUCACGCCCGAGCAGUCGCGCUCGGUGCUCGGCCGUCGCUUCGAGAUCCUGAAUGCGGCGGGCGGCGUGGCCGGCCGCUUCGAUGCGCCGAGCGGCUAUCUGUUCGUCAAUCCGGUGCUCGCCUAUGGCCCGACGACCGUGAGCCUCACGAUCGAUCGUAACGCGACGCCGUUCGCAAGCGUCGCGCGGACCGCGAACGAGCGCGGCGUCGCCGAUGCGCUCGAAACGGCGGACCCGGGCAGCGCGGUUUACAACAGCGUGCUGUUCGCGGCGUCCGCGCAGGCGCCGCAGGCGACGCUCGCGCAACUGACGGGCGAGAUCUAUCCGGCCGCCUACGCGGCGCUCGUCAACGAAAGCCGGCAAGUGCGCGAAACGGCGCUCGAGCGCCUGUGGACGGCGCGCGGCGCGCCGGGCCGCGCCGGCGCCUGGGCGCGGCUGCUCGGCGCGUGGGGCAGCGCGCGCGGCGGCGACGUGAACGGCUACACGAGCUCGACGGGCGGCUUCCUCGCGGGCGCGGACGCGGCGCUGCUCGACAGCGUGCGGGCGGGCGGCUUCGCCGGCUACAGCCACACCGGCGUGAACCUGAGGAAUCAGCCGUCGUCCGCGUCGUUCGACAGCUUCCAUCUCGGCGCAUACGCGGGGUGGCAGCCCGGCGCACUCGGCGUGCGAAUCGGCGCGGCGCAUGCGUGGCAUCGCGGCGGUGUCGAUCGCGCGGUGCAAUAUGGCGCGGUUGCCGAGAACGAAACGACGGCGCUGCACGCGGAAACGACGCAGGUGUUCGGCGAGGCCGGCUAUCGGUUCGCGCUCGAUGGCGCCGCGACGCUCGAGCCGUUCUUCGGCGUCGCGUAUGUGCAUCUGAAGAACCAGGGGACGACGGAAACCGGCGGCGCGGCGGCGUUGCGCGUGCGGCAAGGCAAUCACGACGUGACGUUCUCGACGCUCGGCGUGCGCGGCGAAACGCGGCUUGGCCUGACGUCGCGACUGCAGUUGACGCUGCAGGGCAGCGCGGGCUGGCAGCAUGCGCUGACGGACGGGCAGCCGAGCGGCACGCUCGCGUUCGCGACGGGGAGCGACACGUUCACCGUGUCGAGCGUGCCGGUUGCGAAGGAUGCGGCGGUGCUGAACGUGGGCGCCGGGCUCGAGCUCGGCAAGAACGGAUGGCUGCGCGUCGGCUAUUCCGGCUCGCUCGCGAGCCGUCAGUCCGAGCACGCGGUGCAAGGCAGCCUGCACUGGAAGUUCUGACGCAGCGGCGGCGCGGGGCGCGAGCGCAGGCCGCGCCCCGUGCACCGCGUGCGCGGCGGCUUGGCGCGCCGCGCGCGGCGCAUCGGCAUGGAUGGAGAUCACGGAGGCGACAUGGAAGCGGCAUCCCGGCCCGGGGCAUCGAGCGCAACGCGCGCAUGGCAGGACAUCACGAUCGUCGACGAUCUGCUGCCGCCCGACGAGCAUGCGCAGAUCCACCGGUUUCUGGCGGCGGGCCAGUGGAGCCACGGCUGGCGUUCGCACAACGGCGCGCAGACGCAGCCGUUCUGGAACCGGCACUUCGCGGGCGCGACGGACCCCGCGCAGCUCGACGUCGGGCCCGGCGCGUCCGACGAACUCGCCCGCGCCGCGCCGCUCGUGCACGCGUGCUGGCGGCGGCUUUCGCAGACAUACUUGACGCAGCACGCGCUGCAGAGCUGCUAUGCGAACGGCUUGCCUUACGGCGCCGACGGCGCGCUGCACGCCGAUUUGCUCGCGAUGGGCGCGUGCACGGCCGUGUAUUACCCGCACGAGCGCUGGGAUCCCGAUUGGGGCGGCGAGACGGUGCUGUUCAACAAGGAUCGCACCGACAUUCUGUGCGCGGUGUAUCCGAAGCCGAACCGGCUGCUGAUCUUUCCGGGCUUCGUCUAUCACGUCGCGCGCGGCGUGUCGCGCGCAUGCCCGACGAUGCGGAUCACGCUGAUGUUCAAGACGCAAUGGCGCCCGUAGCGCGCGCCCGUGUUCGCUUUGCCGCGGCGCGGCCGGAUGCGUGCGUCGGCGCCCGCGCGAGCGGGCGCCGAUGGGGAUUUCAGCGGCGAAUCGGGCCGCGCGGCGAGCGAUGCGCGGCGGCCGGAUCGCCGCGAAGAUCGCCCGCCGCCGAGCGCGCCGCCGGAUUCGCGACGGCGCGCGCCC